rnacentral:rRNA from 1 species
GAUGAACGCUGGCGGCGUGCCUAAUACAUGCAAGUCGAGCGAACAGACGAGGAGCUUGCUCCUCUGACGUUAGCGGCGGACGGGUGAGUAACACGUGGAUAACCUACCUAUAAGACUGGGAUAACUUCGGGAAACCGGAGCUAAUACCGGAUAAUAUAUUGAACCGCAUGGUUCAAUAGUGAAAGACGGUUUUGCUGUCACUUAUAGAUGGAUCCGCGCCGCAUUAGCUAGUUGGUAAGGUAACGGCUUACCAAGGCAACCAUGCGUAGCCGACCGGAGAGGGUGAUCGGCCACACUGGAACUGAGACGCGGUCCAGACUCCUACGGGAGGCAGCAGUAGGGAAUCUUCCGCAAUGGGCGAAAGCCUGACGGAGCAACGCCGCGUGAGUGAUGAAGGUCUUCGGAUCGUAAAACUCUGUUAUUAGGGAAGAACAAAUGUGUAAGUAACUAUGCACGUCUUGACGGUACCUAAUCAGAAAGCCACGGCUAACUACGUG